UAUGAAGGUAUCUUUUAUAUAGCGUCAAAAGUGUGCUAGGCACUUUAGAGUAUUAAAGGAAAAAGAGUUGACAGUGUCCCAUUAGCCAAGAUGUGGAGUCUGAGGGUACAGAUUCUGUCUCAAACAGCAAACGCUAACAGAAAUGUGACCUUGCACAGUGAUUCAAGGAAAAGGAUGUUCCAACAGACCUGAAGAGGAAAUUCAGCUGUCAUGGGAAGAGUCACAGGUCUGUUGCCCAUGUAUCCAUCCACUCGUAUGUAGCAAAGCUUUUCUGGAAGUACAAAACACGCUGGAACGCAAAGGAAGCUCUACGAAUAUGCAGCUACCUUUUAGUAGGUUACUAAUUGCAAAACUUCUAAACUCUUAAAGCCCAUAGGACAUACUGCAGUACUGAGAGCGUAGAAUUCUAUUCCUUCUCGCGAGGUUGCCGUGAGUUUGGCACUUAGCUACAACUACACACAAAAUUUAGUGCAAUCAUUUUCCUGAACAUGCACGUUCAUAUCUGGUAUGGAAGAAAAGGUUAAGUGGGAGAGAAAACAAAGCAGCAUUCCACAAUCUCACUCCAAAGGAUUCAGAGUUUGACUCUUCAGAAGGAGACCACCGCAAUGAGAAGUCAGUUUGUGUGACAGACACUAGGACUUUUAGAAAGGAAAUGGAAUUUUACCAGAGUACUGCAGAAGACCACUGCAUACAGUAUAUACCUGGUCCUGCUGUAAAACAUCUUGUAAACAGUUCAUAAAAUCUUCAUCUAAAAGUAAGGCAUAAGGCACACCAGACAUGGUAGGGGCACUAAGCAUUACUGAAAGCAGUAGCAGUUUAAACCUUUAACUCAGACAAGCACCUCACGUGGAAAGGUACUUUGGUUUACACUUUUUGAGAGCAGGCAACUGCAACUCCAUCAACCACUUCUGUUGCACCAAGUCGCUCCCUCGCAAGUGAGUAUUAUGCUCCAUCAAACAUUAAUGGGACCUUCAUCAACACGGGGUAAAUACAAGCUUUAAAUCC
rnacentral:lncRNA from 1 species